rnacentral:lncRNA from 1 species
CUAACGCUCCGAGCGCCAGAGCCGCCCGGGCGCAGCCCGCCUCUGCGCGCCCGCGACCCACGUGACGUUGACUUUUGCUGAUGGAGCCUCUCUGAAGGGCAAAUUCAAAGUACAGCUGGGUGCUGCAGCACUGGAGUGCGAACUUGUGGCUGUGGUUAUGAAGGAGCCUCGUCAGCUAUGCCUUUAGCCCCUGGUGAAGCAGUGCCAGUCACACUUUGCCAGUCAAACGGAGAGGCAGCAGUAGUAAGACCAGACCAAAUCAAACCAAACCAAGCAAACCACGGGGAAUGGAGGUCAUGUGAGCACACAGCAUAAAGGCAGCUGCCCACAAGCCAGGAAGAGAAGCAUCAUCAGAAACCGACCAUACUGGCUUCCUGAUCUCAGACUUUCAGCCUCCAGAAUGGAAGACACUCAGCAGCACAUUUCUGCCUUGAAUCAAUUCCCAGUAGAGUUAGAAGACCAAACUACUGCAGGCUGAAAAGCACCUGAAUGGUGGACAUUGUGUCAAGAAAGGUGGUGAACCCUACUCUCGGACUGAGGUGGAGGCAAGGAUAAGUGUGCAUUCUUCAGAAAAGGCUCCAGGGAUCAUCUGGAAGAAGAGAAGUUAUGGGUCAUACUUUACCAUCUCAGGCUUGUGGACAUUGCUCAUAUUUAUGUAACAAAGUCUUUAUAUCAAUAUUAGCUUUUCUAUGUACCAAUUUGUUUCUAAUUUAAAACAAGCAAGUAUAGAAACUUAUUAUUGACUAGUCUUGGCUACUAAAUAUGUCUUUAGGUGCUCUUCAUGGAGGUAGAGUGAGUAAGAAACAACAACAACAACAACAACAACAACAAAAGAUGGGGCACUACCAGACACCAGUCUUUCCCAUUAACUCUUUCUGCACUUCACCUUAAGGCUUAAAUGUAUUCUCUAAGCUUCACUUAAUUUUUUUAAUGCAAACAUCCAGUGUUGGUGCUUCUUUUUACUAAUUUGAUAGUGAUGUUAGAAAUUAUUGUGUAUCACUCUAAGAUACUUUCUUAAAAGAUAGACUAGUUUUAGAGUAGUUUUAGUUAGGUUGAGUGGAAGAUACAGAGAUUUCUCAUAUACUCACUGUCCCCACAUAUGCAGUUUCCUCUAUUAUCAACAUCCUCUCUGCAUCCAUCCACAGGGUACAUUUGUUACAAUUGAUAAAUAUACAUUAUUAUCACCCAAAGCUCAUAGUUUACAUUAGGGUUCACUCUUGGUAGUGUACAUUUUAUAGGUUUGGGCAAAUGUAUAAUGACAUGUAUUUGUCAUUAUAGUAUCACAAUGAGUAGUUUUACUGUCCUAAAAAUCCUCUGUGCUCUGCCUUUUCAUGCCUCCCUCCUCCCUAACCAUUGAUUAUAUUACUAUCUCCAUUGUUUUGCCUUUUAUAAAAUGUCAUAUAGUUGAAAUCUAACAGUAUAUAGCCUUUUCAGAUGGGUUGAUUGAUGGCUUGUUAAAUCAAUCAAUAGACCUAUGUUGAUCUUUAGAUUCUUACAUCUCGACAAUAUUGAGUUUCCCUAUCCAUGAACAUAGAAUGUCUCUCCACUCAUUUAAUUCUUUGAUUUCUUUCAUCAGAGUUUUAUAGUUUUUCUCAAAUAGAUCUUGUAAAUAUUUAGUUAAAUAUAUAUCUAAGUAUUUCAUUUUGGGGGGACCACACUGAAUAUAAUUCCUUUAUCUGGAUGUACCACAGUUUAUUUAUUUAUUUAUCUACUUAAGGAAAUCUUGGUUGCUUCCAAGGUUUAACAAUCAUAAACAAAGUUUCUGUAACCAGCCAUGUGCAGGGUUUUGUGUAGACAAAAAUUUUUAACUCCUUUGGGUAAAUACGAACAAGAGUGAUUGCUAGAUCAUGUGGUAAGAGUAUGUUUAAUUUUGUAGAAAACUGCCAGACUGCCUUCCAAAGUGGCUGUACCAUUCUGCAUUGCCAACAGCAAUGAAUGAGAGUACCUGUUGCUUCACAUCCUCACCAGCAAUUGGUGUUGUCAGUGUUCUGGAUUUGGGCCAUUUUAAUAGGCAUGUAUUGGUAGCUCCUUGUUUGAAUUUGCAUUUUCCUGAUAACAUAUAACGUGCAGCACCUGUUCAUAUGCAUGUUUACCAUCUGUAUAUCUUCUUUGGUGAGGUGUCUGUUCUUGUCUUUGGCCCAGCUUUUAGUUGGGUUGUUUUUUUUGUUAUUGUUAAGUUUUAAGAGUUCUUUAUAUAUUUUGGAUAACAUUUCUUUAUCAGAUAUCAGAUAUAUCUUUGCAAAUAUUUUCUCACAGUCUGUGACUUGACUUUUUAUUCUCUUGACAAAGUCCUUCACAGAGAAGAACACUUUAAUUUUAAUCAAGUUCAGCUUAUCAAUUCUUUAUUUUGUGGAUUGUACUUUUGGCAUUGGGAUACAAAGUGGUGUUUAGAUAAAAAGUUAUCACCAAACCCAAGGUCAUCUAGAUAUUUUCCUAUGUUAUCUUCCAGGAGUUUUAUGGUUUUGCAUUUUACAUUUAUGUUUGUGAUAUGUCUUGAGUUCAUUUUGUAAAGGGUGUAAAGUCUGCAUCUAGGUUAUUCUACUUCUUUUUUUUUUUGCAUAGGGAUGUUCAGUUUUUCCAGCAUAAUUUGUUGAAAAAAUUAUCUCUACUACACUGUGUUGCCCUCAUCCAUUUGUCAAAGGUCAGUUGCCUAUAUUAUAUGGGUCUAUGUCUGAGCUCUCUAUUCUGUUCUGUUUAUCUAUUUGCCUGUUUUUUUCUCCAAUAACAUAUUCUCUUGAUUACUAUAGACUUAUAAGUCUUGAAGUCAGGUAAUAUCAGUCCUUUGACUUUAUUAUUCUCCUUCAAUAUUGCAUUAACUCUGCUGGAUGUUUUUGCCUCUCUAUAUAAACUUUAGAAUUAGUUUGUCGAUAUCCACAAAAUAACUUGCUGGGAGUUUAAUUGAGAUUGCAUUGAAUCUGUAGAUCAAGUUGGGAAGAACUGACAUCUUGGCAAUAUUGAAUCUUCCUAUUCAUGAAUAUGGAAUAUCUCUCUAUUUAUUUAAUUCUUCUUUGAUUUCUUUUAUCUGAGUUUUGCAAUUUUUCUCAUACAAAUCUUGUAUAUAUUUAGUUAAAUGUAUACUUAAGUUUUUCAGUUUUGUGAGUGCUACUGUAAAUGGUACUGUGUUUUAAAUUUCACGUUCCACUUGUUCAUUGUUGAUAUAUGAGAAAGUGAUUGUGUGUUACAUUUGUGUCUUGCAACCUUGCUAUAAUCACUUAUUAAUUCCAGGAGUUUUGUUAGUUGAUUUUUUCUGAUUUUCUACAUAGAUGAUCAUGUCACCUAUGAACGAAGACUGUUAUACUACUUCCUUCCUAAUCAGUAGUAUACUUCUAUGUCUUUUUCUUCUCUUAUUGCCCUAUCUAGAACUUCCAGUAUAAAAUUGAAAAAGAGUGGUGAGGGGAAAUAUCUUGCUUUGUUCCUGACCUUAGAGGGAUGCUUUCCUCAAAGUUUCUUAGAAUUAAGGGUAAUGGGAAUUGUGGUUCCUUGUAGAAGUUCUUUACCAAAUUGAGGCUAUUCCCCUCUAUUCCUUGUCUAUUGAGUUUUGUUUUGUUUUUUGGUAUGAAUCAGUGUUGGAUUUUGAAAAAAUGUUUUUUCUACAUCUAUUGAUAUGAUCAUGUGUUUUUUUUCUUUAGCCUUUUGAUGUGAUGAAUUGUACUAAUUGAUUUUUGCACAUUGAACCAGCCUUCUAUGCAUGGGAUAAAUCCCACUUGGUUAUGGUAUAUAAUUCAUUGCAUACAUUGUUGGGUUUGAUUUGCUAAUAUUUUGUUGAGGAUUUUUGCAUCAGUGUUCAUGAGAUAUAUUUUUUUUCUUGUAAUGUCAUUAUCUGUUUGGUAUUAUGGGAAUGCUGGCCUCAGGAGUUAGGAAAGAUAUAUUAGAAAAGAAGACAGACCUAACAUCAAUUAUCCAAGCUGUCACCUUAAGGAACUAGAAAAAGAAG